rnacentral:tRNA from 2 species
GCGCCCGUAGCUCAGCUGGACAGAGCGCUUGCCUCCGGAGCAAGAAGUCAGAGGUUCGACUCCUCUCGGGCGUA